GUCUGGUUACUUUUUCGCAGAUAGUGGCAUUCUCUCUAUCGGAGCUAGUAUAGAACAAGCAACUGUAUCUCCCGUGGCAAUUUUCUUCUCCAAUCACAAGUUGAUAAGAUAAGGUUUUCGACAAUGAGCCUCAAAGAUCAGAAAGCAAAAUUUGAGUUCAAGGUAAAUACCCAAUCAGAUCGCAAAUUGAUUGACUAAUAACAAACCAUCAUGAAAUGUACUAAGUUUCACAAAACAUUUGAGUGUUACAGAAAUAUAAGUAACUGAAAUAAAAACAUAACUGAUACAAAAUUUAAACAUUAGAGACAAUAAGACAGAUAAGGUGGUUUGGUACUAAGAUCUGAAUCAUGUACAACAAAUAAAUGUGAAGAAAGUUGUUAAAUUUCAUCUUCCAUCACCAUUUAAGAUGGUGUGAGAGAUGAACAUUGAGUUGUUGGUAGAGGGAGGAGAGACUAAUGGUACUGAUGCUGAUGAGGUUACUGAAGUGGAAGUGAUUGCCAAACCAGGUAUUCCCAUUACCAUCGGAGUGGAAACUCCGAUUCCGGGAGUAUCUGGAGAGAAAUCAGGCAAUGCUUGGUCUCUGUUUAUGUAUUGCAUCACUUUUUCCAUGUUAGGUCUUGAUUCUGGUAUAAUGCUUGUACAGAGCAAACCGAGCUUCAGAACCAUUUCGACUUCCCCGAGUGUAAAUUUAUCUCUCAACCGUGUAUCUAUAGCGUCAACUAGAGAAUGUUUCCUCCAGCAUUCACAAACCCAUUUGACCAGAUGUCGUUUCUCUACUGGCAUCUCAGGAUCAAAUGGUCUCCUACCACAUGUUACUUCAAGCAUGAAUGCACCAAAUGCAUACACAUCGGUUUUUGUGGAAGUUCCUGUUGAUAUUAACUCCAGAGCCAUGUAACCUAUGGUUCCUACAGCUGCUGUUGCAGAGAGGUAACAGAGUGCAGAUGCAAUAUCUCUCAGUAUUGCGAGUCUUUGAGACCAAGAGAGAGGUGGUUUAUCGCCAUUAAACAAGUAUUGAUCGACGCUACCUCCUUCCAUGUACUUAGAGACCAGCAAUAACUCGCCUUUUCUCCUGCAAUACCCGAGAAGAGAUAAUAUCCUCCAAGACCCCCGAUCACUACGAGGGUGAGUAUAACCAAAAGAACAAUAAGCAGAGGAGAUCUUUUUCUCUUCUGUUCCGUGAAAAGAGGAACUGUGGAAAGUUCAGAGAUGUCAAGGCUCUUUAAUAAUCGUCUGCUUCUGCUGAAACUCCACCCUAAGAUGUAUUGGUUACUAAUCGAUGAUCCAGUUGCAGCCGAAAACCCGACAAAAGCUUUUCGAUCCGGGAAGAUUGCGGUGAGGUUGAUGGUUCUUGACAAAAGAGGCUUACUUGGUUUCUGAUUUCUUAGAGGUGCUAAAGUAACAUUAAGUAGAGUAUCUUCAUAAUCGACCCAUACCUGAAUAGGAUCUCCACUCAAGAGUAUUAAGCUUAUGUUUUUCCCUUCUCUGUCGGAAUAAUAGGAAGCUGAAGCAGAAACGACAGAUUGGAUUCUGUUUUCGUCUAUACCGACAUGGUUGUUAUCCAUGUCAUCAGUCUCUGCGCUUUGGACCGUAUCAAGCUCGACAGCUAAAACGUGAGAAGAAGGAGAUCCGUUAGUUGAUCUGUUGAAAAGUCCUAAGUAACUACUUGCAUAUGCUUUUUUGAGAUUAUGUGCAGAUGAUAGCACAAAAGCAAUCCCGUGACCACCAUAAAAUCCUGGCUUAGGGACAAGAGCGCAAACGAAUUGAGUAAAGAAGGAGAGAGACUGAGAUGAAGCUGAACCGAAAUCGAAUGGUCGGUUGAAGAAGGCAUGACCCUUUUGCUGAGUCGUGCCAUCGGUUAGCUGCAAAACUCUUUCUGGAGAUUGGAUUCUUGCAAAGCCAUCAAGGAGAAGUUCAUCACCAGCUUGGUCUUGGUUAAAGCCAUUGAAGACGAAACUUAAGUCUUGUUGACUUGAAAAGCAAAUCAGAUUAACUAAGAAGAUCAAGAGGAGAAGAAGAAGAUAAAAUCUUUGAGCCAUUGGUAUUGAAAAAACCAGAGACAAGCCUCGUUUAUUUUCUACGUUCCAAGUCCAAUAGAAAUAUUCUCUCCAGGCAAGAAAGAGUUGACUUAGAACUUCUUAAGAUGUAUAACCUGAUCAUUACUCUCAAAAUAAUAGUUUUGUACGUUUUAACAAUGUCAAGUCGGAACUAAAUUAAAGCGAAAUACCC